rnacentral:misc_RNA from 1 species
GAACACUAAAAACAGAUGGAGCCCUGCCAAAAAAUAUAUUUGCACGUAAUUAUAUUGAGAAGUUAAGAUUAAGAAUUUAAUUCAAAAACAAAAGGAGAGUGAUUUGCAAAAAUAAAGGGCUGUAAAUAAACCAAGUUGCACGUGAGCUAUUCGAGGCUUGGCUUGGCUUGAUACAAGCUUAGUUCGGCUCGAUUCGAUUUCUAAAUGAGCCAAGCUCUAGCCUAAUUUUUAGGCUCGUUUAUUAAAUGAGCCAAGCUUAAGCCUAUAGAUAUUCCGUUUGUUAAGACUCGCGAGCUUGCUUAUUUAAUAGGUUCGCAAGCCAACCCGUGAACAGACUUGAGAGCUAACUUGUUUAACUAAAAUUAUUUAGU